GGAUAGCCACUGGAAAUGGUGGGUAAUACCGUAUAAUCCCCGCGGGGGAAAGAUUUAUCGCUAUUAGAUGAGCCUAUGUCGGAUUAGCUAGUUGGUGGGGUAAUGGCCUACCAAGGCAGUGAUCUGUAGCUGGUCUGAGAGGAUGAUCAGCCACACUGGAACUGAGACACGGUCCAGACUCCUACGGGAGGCAGCAGUGGGGAAUAUUGGACAAUGGGCGCAAGCCUGAUCCAGCUAUGCCGCGUGAGUGAGGAAGGCCUUAGGGUUGUAAAACUCUUUCAGUAGGGAAGAUAAUG
rnacentral:rRNA from 1 species